CUCUCUCCCAGAAGCCAAUAGGUGGUCAUCUUCCCUUUGCCCUUGAUGUCGAUCUCUCCUCUCAGCUCCAGCUGGAAGCAGUUGAACUCCAGCAGGACGUCACGGGUCGCCGCCGACACGUGGAUCUUCAGCGCUGCACACACAAACACAGGACUCGAUACCACGUCUCCACCUCCCGUUCACUGCCGCACACUCUGGCUCCAAAUGACGUCACCAGGACAUAUCAGGGAUGUUUUGUCUUCACGUUUAUACCGUGGGAGGAAGUGGAGACGUGUCAGCCAUCUUUAUUUGACCACAUGUUCGUGUGCGGUUCUGACCUUCUCCGCUGGACUCCAUACGUGACGACGUGUUGACGGUGUCACCAAACAGACAGUAACGUGGCAUCUUCAGACCCACCACUCCGGCACACACCGGACCUACAACACACAGCAGGACGGAGGACGUAAACAAGGCUCUUCAGCUGUUCUUCUGGUCGGUGGCGAAUCUUGAAGGUUCGGACGGCGUCCAGCAGGGCGAGGGCCAUACGGGCGAUCUCUCUGCCGUGCAGCUUCCCGUUCCUCACCGGCAGCCCUGACACCACCAUGUAGGCAUCGCCGAUGGUCUCCACCUGGGGGCGCCACAGGACCACAAACAGCAGAACAGGUCCAUCGCAGCCAACCUGUCAGAAGACAGGGCUGAUCUACGGCAGCCUGCAGGAGACAUCUCCCCUCCAGGUGUCCACCUCAGCCAAAGCAGGAAGACACACUGUCAUCGAAAUUUAAAUGUCCUGUUGACUGCAGCCUUCUUUACUCAGCUGUUCUGGAGACGCUGAGGGACUGCAGGGACGCUAACAGACUCAGUGUAAAGGCCACGCAGUGAUGGAUGUCCACAGCAGAGAAAAGAGAGACGGGCAGACGGGUGGAGAUAGGAGACAGACAGAGGAGCAGAGGGCCGCUGGGUGGAGGAGAAACAAGGACGAGAGCUCCGGCUGAUGAGGACAGGAGGCUCUGGUUUCACACGAUUAGAUUUCCAGGCUAUUUGUGGGGGGUCUCUCCUCCCCCCCGCCGUCCGUCUGACAGUGAAGAGAGAAGAGAAAUCAAGGGAGGACGGGUGAGGAGCAGGAGGCGAGGACGUCGGUAUGAUUGAGUGACAGAAAGACGACCAGAAACAACAGAAUAGACAGAAAAUGAAGGAAGGCCGAGAACAACCUGAACCCUAAGCAGCUCUGUCCUUUCACUCAUCAACUUAUGUUUUAUCUUUCAUAUUACCAGUAAGCACAUAAUGAACACAUGCAAGAGGGACAAGCCCAGCCUUCAACUCUUAAAGGGACAGUUCACCCCUGUAGUGCUGUUUAUCCAUCUUAUCGGCGGUAGAGAUGUCUUCUCUGGAUCUGCGCUGACAUUAUUCUGAACUCGUGGGUCUGUAACAUAAAGUGAUCUUCACCUCCUCAGGGGACCACGAAUCGACAGCGAAAGCCACGUAACUCCAGUCGUUCAUUUUUAAGAUGGCAGACGACGGACAACAGGGACGAAAUGUGAAGGGGAUUUGUUUAUGAACACUGCAGGACGCGUCUGUCCACAGUCUGUGGUUUCUUUAACCUGAGGUCAAGCAGAGUGAAGACAGCAGCACAGACACUAACGAGGGACGGAUGGAUGGAAAAACAACGAAGUCUGAAGAUGGAUGGACAGACAUGAAGGGCAGGACAAAUAAGCCGCAUGGACACGUGUGACCUGCAGUCACCUCCAGCUUUCCAUCCGGACGACGAGGGGACAGAAACACCCUGAUGCAAACGGGUUUUUGAGACCCUGUUGGUCGGUCUGGGUGUGUGUGGCCUCUUUACUGACGUGAUGCAGAUCUACUUGUCCUUUAAGUUAGGCUUAACUUUCUGCAGCCAAACUCAGACACGACUCGAUAAUCUAAUAUGAUAAUAAUAAUAAUAGUAAUCUUUGGCUCUGAGUAAGUGACUGGCAGGAAAUCAGCCAGAAAUCCCAAACGAAUCACAAGUGAACUUUGAACCACAACAAUCUUAUUAAAUCCUGCUGCUGACAUUAAGUCAGCGCUGUGUUUUCCUGACUUGGGGAGACUCAUUCAGACUUUCAGCAGAAAGCUGCUGCUCGUAGUUCCUCCCCUCACUGGCUGUCUCUUCAGGUCAGGACUGAUUCUUCUUAUGUCUGCUCAAACUUUCUGUUCUUGUCUUUACUUUCCUGUCGUAUUUUUACUGUGUUAUACUUGGAUUUGCACUGGUACUAUGCCUCUUGUGGAGCACUUUCUAACCUCGUUUAAAAUCAGACUGUCUGCUGAAACUGAUCCGAUGUCCCGGGGCACACGUCCAAACUCCCUGCAGUUCUCAGCUCUGAUUGGCUCAGAUACGUUCACCUCUGACAGCAGUGAGAGUCCAAAUAAAACUGAACACGCUCCGAGCUUCCUGUUUUCAAACACAGCCACGUGCCUCCCACCUGCAUCUUAUUAAUAGACACUUGAACGCAGCAUCAGGAUGAAGUGGAAACGAUUCCAGUCACAUCUCAUCCAGCAGCAAACGGAAACGUGCUUCCAGGGAAGCCAGAGAGCCGAACUGAACGGGACGAGGAGGCCGAGAGCCGCCAUUUUCUUUCCUCUCUCGGCUUCCUCUCCAGGAGGGGAAACAUCUGCUCAUCCCCACAGAAACCAGAAGACCACUGAUCAGUCUGUCUUCAUUUAUUAUUGAAAGGCAUGGAAUGUAUCGAGUGAAACCAAAGCUGGAUGUUUAAACAAAGCCAAGGUGCAUCAUAAAACAAUAAAGCUGCACCGAGACUGACUCAAAGUCCCCGCCCGGGACCGAGGCCUCAGAGAACCUGAACGAGGGUCGGUCUGGCUCUGGUUGUGUCUCAUUUCGCUGACAACAUGAGAGCGACUCAGCAGUGAGGAAGCUGUGGGGGUCAAAGGUCUGAGCGAGGUGACGACGGAUGAAGCUGUGAGAUGAUGGAGGAGCAGAUGAACCAUUUCCUCCAUUUGCACCUGUUUGUUAGAGAAGAAGUGCAGUCAGCAGCUGUUAGUGGAAACCUCGUUCAAAGACGUCUUCGUCCAGGGACACCAUCAGGACGCGGUUUUCAUUUCCACCCGUCUCUCCACACGAUCUGCACACGCUCAGUCCCAGCAACACAACAUGUGCGAAAGCUCAAAGUGAACAGAAGAGAAAAGCUGCUUCACCUCCUGAAGAGCUGCUUUCGCUUCCCAUCGUGUCAUCUUUAUGUGAGCAGUGAGGCCUGAGGACGUCGAACGCUUCACGCUGUCCAGAGGAUGAACGCCGAUGCAAACGCGUCACGUUUCCUCUCAUCGUGUGAUCAGCUGCUUGUUACUUUACACAUCAAAGUCUUCUCUUUUGCUUUCUUUUUAUUUCCAGAUUACUGAAGCAGCAAACAGUGAAAACAUUGUAAAAAUGUAACAAUAUUUAUUCUAAAUAUUAUUCGUAAUUUGUCUCAUGAUUACACGUAAACCGGAAACACAAGUGCAGUUUAAACUAGUUGUCAUUAGCGCUCACACACACACACACGGAUGGUCACGCACGCACACGCACGCGCGCUCGCGCUCGCACACACACACACACACACACACACACACUCCUCACCAG